UACGAAGGGGGCUAGCGUUGUUCGGAAUUACUGGGCGUAAAGGGCGCGUAGGCGGUCUUGUAAGUCAGGCGUGAAAGGCCCGGGCUCAACCUGGGGACUGCGCUUGAUACUGCGAGGCUUGAAUCCGGGAGAGGAUGGCGGAAUUCCCAGUGUAGAGGUGAAAUUCGUAGAUAUUGGGAAGAACACCGGUGGCGAAGGCGGCCAUCUGGACCGGUAUUGACGCUGAGGCGCGAAAGCGUGGGGAGCAAACAGG
rnacentral:rRNA from 1 species